AUUGAACGCUGGCGGAAUGCUUUACACAUGCAAGUCGAACGGCAGCACGGGUGCUUGCACCUGGUGGCGAGUGGCGAACGGGUGAGUAAUGCACCGGAACGUAUCCAAUAAUGGGGGAUAACGCACCGAAAGGUGUGCUAAUACCGCAUACGCCCUGAGGGGGAAAGCGGGGGAGUCGUAAGACCUCGCGUUAAUGGAGCGGCCGAUGCCGGAUUAGCUAGUUGGUGAGGUAAAGGCUCACCAAGGCGACGAUCCGUAGCUGGUCUGAGAGGACGACCAGCCACACUGGAACUGAGACACGGUCCAGACUCCUACGGGAGGCAGCAGUGGGGAAUUUUGGACAAUGGGCGCAAGCCUGAUCCAGCCAUUCCGCGUGAGUGAAGAAGGCCUUCGGGUUGUAAAGCUCUUUCGUCAAGGAAGAAAACUUAAUCUCCUAAUACGAGGUGAGGUUGACGGUACCGUUGAUAAGAAGGACACCGGCUAACUACGUGCCAGCAGCCGCGGUAAGU
rnacentral:rRNA from 1 species